UUGUAUUUAUUAGUAAAAUGUUUAUCCAAAAAUAAAACGUCCUAUCACUUACCUUUACUUUUAUUAUACAUAUGGCUUACAAUAAGAGAUGUUAAGAGGCAGAAUGAUUUGUCAUUCAGCUACUUCCUCCUAUAGCUAAUCAAAUGGUGAAUAGGAGUUUCUCUCUUUUCUCAUUUUGUGAGCAAAAUAUAUUUAUUUGUAUAAAUUAAUUGUAUACUAGUAAUACAUAAUGACUUUCAAAAGCGGAAGUAAUUCCCUUUAUUUGUUAGAAUAUGUAUAUUUUAACUAAUUGCAAAAGCUAAAUAAUAAAUAAAUGUCUAACCAUGUAAUGUGACCGAGUUUGGAGAGCCCUGGCUCAGCACAGUGGAAGUAUUUGAAGCUUUGUUUAUGAACAUGGCGGUGUGGUCAUACAAUGACUUUAAACCGGACACUACUCUGAGCUGUUCACAUUAUACAAAUGCUCCAGAUGUGUAAUCAGGUUCACCCUUUUGGAAUGGUAAACAUGACACUAUUCAUCACUCACACAAAUAAAUAACUUAAUAUUUUGAUAAUUGAAUUGGUUUUUGCUGUUAAAACGUUUUUUUUUUUUUUUGUAACACAUUGCACUUCAUGUGUUUACAGAUUUGUGCAGAAUUUGAGACAUACAGAAUUACCAUAGGCCCAUUAGAAUCAACAGUCUUUGCCAAACUGGAUCCGCACUACAGAACUUAUGAAGAUGUUUGCAUACUGAAGAAGAGUGCUUGGACAAAUACUGAAACCCUCUUGGUGCCCACUACACAGGCAGGGGUGUCCAGACCUGCUCUAGGAAAGCCAGUGUUCUGUGGAGUUUAGCUCUAACUCACCUGCCUGGAACUUCUAACUAAUGAAAUUGAAGUAUCCAAAUGAAGACCCUAGCAGUAUGGAGUAUAUGGAUACAGACGUUGGCAGCAAUCAGGAGGUGAUCCAGAAGACUCGUGGGAAUCUAUUUGAAGCUGCAUCAUUGAAGACAGUUCAGCAGAAGUUGGAGUUUU